CUUGUGCAGCCCGACCUGAGUGGAGCUCAUCCGCUGCAGGCGGAUAGCGGGAACGGAGGGCGGAAAUAGCU
rnacentral:misc_RNA from 1 species